rnacentral:lncRNA from 1 species
GCGCAAGCUGCGGGGCCGUAAAGGAACCGGCCCCCAAUCUCCGGGGCUUCAGUCCCGCCCCUCUCUCCCCCCAGUGCCCUGCAGCGCUCCCAGGGUCCGUGUCUGCCCUCCCCAAGCCCCCACUGUCAAUACAAUCCCUGUUAAAAAAAAAAAAUCUUUUUAGAGCCAGGCACGUGCCGUCGGCCUCUCCCCUGCCCGCCUGGCCCAGGAGGCGCCCACACCUGCGCCCUCACUUGCCGAGACUUUUACCUGUGCAGUCCCCGGCGGCGCCUGCAGCCGCGCAGGUGCCAUUUAAAAAUUUUGUAUGAAUUAUGUCCUCGCCCACAGCGACUCUCUGAGAUCUGGGGCAUGCCAACUCCUUACUCUGGGGGAGUAUUGGAGGGAGAAUUCUACUUUUCUGAUGGGGGAGUACCAGCCUGUUAACCACAACCAUUUGCAGCUGAAGCCAGUGCAGAGCAGGAGGGAGAUCUGCACAGAGGAGAACAGUAUAAAUGGCAUGGGGUCAUCUCAGCCCCUGGCCAGCUCCCAGCCUAAUGGGAAAACCGGACCAUUGAGCAUUCCUUGCUGUUUCCCUGUAGUCCCAGCCCAAGCCAGCAUGCUCUUUUUUUAAAAAGCAAAUCCAACCAUGUUUCUCUUCUGCUUAAAGGCAUCCGGGUUCCCAUUGUUCUUGAGAACAAGUUGAGCUUGCCUCCCCUGGCUGGCGGGUCUACACUGGCUCUGCCCCAGCUUGCCUUUCUGCCUUUGUCUGCCUCCACACCCCCUCACCUGGAACUCCUGCUACCCAAGGCUUCCUUUUAGUUCCUCAAAUGUGCCAUGCUACUCCCCACCUCAAGGGCUUUGCUCCUGCUUUUCUCUGUCUCUCUGGAAUGACCUGUCCUUCUCUUCACCUGGCUUGCGCAUACUCUUCCUUCAGGUCUCAGCUCACACAUCACUUUCCUGCAUCCUCCCGCCUCCCAUUACCCUCACUUAUAAUAGAAUUUCCUGUUGAGAGUCUGUCCGCUUCACUGGAUGGUAAACUCCCAGGGGGUAGGGACUAGGGCCGUUCCUUCAAGGAACAAAUGAAGAAGGAACAUUUGUAUAAACCACCAACUAUGAUGAACGAAUGAAACUGCCCUUUUUGGGGCCACCAGUAAGUAUUCUCCAUGGUCUCACAUUCCAAGAUGUUCUCAACUUAAUGAGGGCGAUGAUACAAAUCUCAUGAAAACAUAUGUUAUUUUGAAUGCCUUUAUUGUAAAUGUCAAAUAAGGGGAUGCUGGAGGAGGUUGGAGAAGAGGAAUAUGCAUGGAUUACAGCCAUUUAUUCAGGGUUUCAAGAUGCAAGAUGUGUUGGUUGACACAAUUUAAUGGAAAACCAUGCCACCCACGACCAUCUCCCAGUGUUGGGCAUGUAUGUCUCAAGGCUCUAGCCUGCACCCCCUUUCCUCUUCCUUUCUUCACAUAUUAUUGCUAUCACAGUUCAGUUCUUACUAGUUUCUGACUUAACUGCUGCUACAAGAACCUUCUAAUUGUUCUGCCCAUCCUCCACCUCUCCUGCCUCUAAUCCAUCAUACAUACUCCUGCUGGGUUAAUUUUCCUGACCACAUCAUUCCCUUACUCAAAACUCUUCAGUGGCUCCCUAUGAUACAGUGUAACACUUGACUCUUCAUAGCCCACUUCCAAACUACUUUUGUAAAGCUUUAAGAUGCAUUCCAAAAUUAUGAAAGAAACACAUGUUCACCUCAACCAGGAAAACACUCAAAGAUAUACAAAGAAAAACAUCAGUGAUCUUCCUCACCUCCUCUGCAUUUCCCACCCAGUCUCCCAAGACAUCCAUUGUUAAGGACCUGGGGUAUAACUUCUACCUCUUUCACCAUGCUCCAUGCUCAUAAUAAACUAUAUUCAUAUAUGUGGA